rnacentral:rRNA from 1 species
AUUGAACGCUGGCGGCAGGCUUAACACAUGCAAGUCGAGCGAGCGGCGGACGGGUGAGUACUGUCUGGGAAACUGCCUGAUUGCGGGGGAUAACUACUGGAAAGGGUAGCUAAUACCGCAUACCCUCAGAUGUGCCCCGAUGGGCUUAGCUGGUAGGUGGGGUAAUGGCUCACCUAGGCCACGAUCCCUAGCUGGUCUGAGAGGAUGACCAGCCACAAUGGAACUGAGACACGGCCCAGACUCCUACGGGAGGCAGCAGUGGGGAAUAUUGCACAAUGGGCGCAAGCCUGAUACAGCCAUGCCGCGUGUGUGAAGAAGGCCUUCGGGUUGUAAAGCACUUUCAGCGAGGAGGCGGUACUCGCAGAAGAAGCACCGGCUAACUACGUGCCAGCAGCCGCGGUAAUAC